UACAGAGGGGGCAAGCGUUGUUCGGAAUUAUUGGGCGUAAAGGGCGCGUAGGCGGCUUGGCAAGUGGAAGGUGAAAUCCCUCGGCUUAACCGAGGAACUGCCCUCCAAACUGCUUCGCUUGAGACCGGGAGAGGUGAGUGGAAUUCCCAGUGUAGCGGUGAAAUGCGUAGAUAUUGGGAGGAACACCAGUGGCGAAGGCGGCUCACUGGACCGGUACUGACGCUGAUGCGCGAAAGCGUGGGGAGCAAACGGG
rnacentral:rRNA from 1 species